rnacentral:rRNA from 1 species
CUGGCUCAGGAUGAACGCUGGCGGCGUGCCUAACACAUGCAAGUCGAACGAAGGUAUAUAUAGGAAGUCUUCGGAUGGAAUAUGUAUAACUUAGUGGCGGACGGGUGAGUAACGCGUAAGUAAUCAACCUGUGACACACGGAUAACUGAUAGAAAUGUCAGCUAAUACGAGAUGAACUGUUUAAAUUGGGAAAUGGAAACAGCAAAGCGAAAGCGGUCACAGACGAGCUUGCGUCUGAU